UACGGGGGGGGGCAAGCGUUGUUCGGAAUUACUGGGCGUAAAGGGCUCGUAGGCGGCCAACUAAGUCAGACGUGAAAUCCCCCGGCUUAACCAGGGAACUGCGUCUGAUACUGGAUGGCUUGAGUUUGGGAGAGGGAUGCGGAAUUCCAGGUGUAGCGGUGAAAUGCGUAGAUAUCUGGAGGAACACCGGUGGCGAAGGCGACAUCCUGGACCAACACUGACGCUGAGUGAGCGAAAGCCAGGGGAGCAAAGCGGG
rnacentral:rRNA from 1 species